UACGUAGGUGGCAAGCGUUGUCCGGAAUUAUUGGGCGUAAAGCGCGCGCAGGUGGUUCCUUAAGUCUGAUGUGAAAGCCCCCGGCUCAACCGGGGAGGGUCAUUGGAAACUGGGGAACUUGAGUGCAGAAGAGGAUAGUGGAAUUCCACGUGUAGCGGUGAAAUGCGUAGAGAUGUGGAGGAACACCAGUGGCGAAGGCGACUGUCUGGUCUGUAACUGACACUGAGGCUCGAAAGCGUGGGUAGCAAACAGG
rnacentral:rRNA from 1 species